AUUGAACGCUGGCGGAAUGCUUUACACAUGCAAGUCGAACGGCAGCACGGGGGCAACCCUGGUGGCGAGUGGCGCACGGGUGAGUAACACGUAGGUAAUCUACCUUUGGGUGGGGAAUAACAGCCGGAAACGGCUGCUAAUACCGCAUAAUGCAGCGGCUCGACAUCGAGACAGUUGUUAAAGCGGGGGAUCGUAAGACCUCGCGCCUAAAGAGGAGCCUGCGGCAGAUUAGCUAGUUGGUAAGGUAACGGCUUACCAAGGCGACGAUCUGUAGCCGGCCUGAGAGGGCGGUCGGCCACACUGACACUGACAUACGGGUCAGACUCCUACGGGAGGCAGCAGUCGGGAAUUUUGGGCAAUGGGCGAAAGCCUGACCCAGCAACGCCGCGUGAAGGAUGAAAUCCCUCGGGAUGUAAACUUCGCAAGAACGGGAAGAAUAAGUAGAAGACGAAUACCUUCUAUGAUGACGGUACCGUUUGUAAGCUCCGG
rnacentral:rRNA from 1 species